rnacentral:rRNA from 1 species
AACGAACGCUGGCGGCAUGCCUAACACAUGCAAGUCGAACGAGACCUUCGGGUCGAGUGGCGCACGGGUGCGUAACGCGUGGGAACCUGCCAUUAGGUGCGGAAUAACUCCCCGAAAGGGGUGCUAAUACCGGAUAAUGUCUUCGGACCAAAGAUUUAUCGCCUUUGGAUGGGCCCGCGUUGGAUUAGCUAGUUGGUAGGGUAAAAGCCUACCAAGGCGACGAUCCAUAGCUGGUCUGAGAGGAUGAUCAGCCACACUGGGACUGAGACACGGCCCAGACUCCUACGGGAGGCAGCAGUGGGGAAUAUUGGACAAUGGGCGAAAGCCUGAUCCAGCAAUGCCGCGUGAGUGAUGAAGGCCUUAGGGUUGUAAAGCUCUUUUACCCGGGAUGAUAAUGACAGUACCGGGAGAAUAAGCUCCGGCUAACUCCGUG